UCAUUUCAAAUAUAUUUUAUUCUUUAUGUUGUAAAAGACAAUACAAAACAUUUAAAAGCAUUUUAUUUACAAAUGUACAACAUUCAAGAUUAUAUAACAUAUUUUGUCUAUAAACAAAAAAAACUUUGUUCAGAGUUACUCAUUUCUUUAAAAAAAUAAUAUGAAUGUCUCAUAUAACAUUAUUGCACUUUGCGACCACAGCGCGUUGAGAGAUUGCCAUCACCAAUGAGGAGCAAAGUAAUUCACCUGAUUAAAGUCAAAUUGUGGAAGAAAAGAGAUCUCCAGGAAAGUCACAGACAAGACCACCACACUUUUAUCCUCUCAGCGGUUUUCUUUUUCAAAUUCUUUGGUACCUUUUAACAUAGUAAAGUCUUGGAGCACCAUCCUGUAACAUAUACAUUUAAAGUGUACCUGAAGUCAAUGGCUUGGAAGAAUAGAGUAUUAUAAAUAUAAAUGUCUAAUACAGUAUGUUGAACAGUAUGAACUUCACAAAGACAAAAUGGACUGUUUCUGAUUGAAUGGAGAAGGCCUCUUAGGAUGUGUUCCGUCUGUGUUCUGUCCAAGGUUCUUGUUUCCCUGAUAACCGAUACAGGGAAUGACAUUAAGGUCCAGGGUCAAGUGAACUGAACAGUCGCGCAAGUUGAGCCUGCUCUGAAGUUGACCCAUUAUUGCAGUGAAAACAACCAAACUGCUAAGACUUCCAGUAGCCUGAAACUGAUCUUUCUGGUUCCUCCCCAUUAUUUUACUGAAAGACAGAUAAUGUAUGGCAUUUAUAGCAGUCGGGCAAGUUGAGCUUGCUCUGAGAAAGUUUUGACUUAUAAUGCAAAUAAUUCCAGUAGUGAUCUUUCAUAUUCCUCCCCCAUUAGUAUGUGAUCUUUCAUAUUCCUCCCCCAUUAGUAUGUGAUCUUUCAUAUUCCUCCCCCAUUAGUAUGUGAUCUUUCAUAUUCCUCCCCCAUUAGUAUGUGAUCUUUCUGAUUCCUCCCCCAUUAGUAUGUGAUCUUUCUGAUUCCUCCCCCAUUAUAUGUGAUCUUUCUGAUUCCUCCCC
ensembl:lncRNA